rnacentral:sRNA from 1 species
AGAAAGGGGACAAGGCAA